GCUCCGGCGACUCGGCAGCACCCGCCGCUUUGAGGUAGCGGGUCCGGCAGGCGAUGGGCCCCUUGGGCUCCUGGGGGCGCGCCAUGUGGGUGCUGGCCGGGGGCCUCCUGGCGGUAGCCCUGGCGUUGGGGGACCGAGGCUGGCUCGGCGCCAGCUCAGGUCCCCGCUGGCGCCCCGUCGCCGCGCAGCCACCUCGGCAUCCCCAGGUGGCUCCCGGGUCUGGGCCUGGCCUGAGGACUCCUCCCGGGCGGAGCGGGGUGGGGCCCGAGAGCAGCACGCAGGACUUGCCCCGUAUGGUUUGGUCCAAAGUAGAAUGCUGUCACUUUAGGACUGCAGUGGAAGCACCACUUGGAAUGAAAUUGGACAAGAAAAUGGAAGUCUUGAUCCCAGUCUCAACCUCUGCAGCUUCUAGUGGGCCAUGGGCUCAUUCCUUAUUUGCUUUUAUACCGUCCUGGCCUAAGAAGAACUUAUUUAAAAGAGAGUCUCCUAUAACACACCGCCUGUAUGGGGACAUUUCAAGAGAAGUUCAAGGGACUUCUGAGAAUGGAGUAAUUUUUCAGAAAUGUGCACUGGUGUCUGGGCCAAGCGAAGCACAGACAGCCCACGUAUGGCUGCUUGUUAACAACACCAAGACACCCUCGUCAGCCAACCUCUCGGAGCUUCUCUUGCUGGACAGCAUCGCUGGUCUCACCGUUCGGGAUUCCAUCGGAAACAGGACCUCGGAAGGAUUCCAGGCUUUUAGCAAGAAGUUUCUGCAAGUGGGAGAUGCUUUUGCUGUCAGCUAUACAGCCACGCUGCAGGCUGGAGACCUCGAGAACGGGGAGAGCCUCAAGCUUCCUGCCCAACUCACCUUUCAGAGCUCGUCACAGAACAGAACACAGCUGAAAGCGCUUUUUUCCAUAACAGCAGAAGAAAGCAUAACGGUUCUGCCGCACCAUGGCCUCCAUGCAGCGGGGUUCUUCAUUGCCUUCCUCCUCUCCCUUGUGCUGACCUGGGCUGCCCUCUUCCUCAUGGUUCACUAUCAGUGUCUGAAGGGAAGCAUACUCACCAGACAUCGGGUUUGGCAGUACGACAGCAAGCUGGAACCCUUGCCGUUCACCUCAGCUGAUGGCGUGAAUGAGGACCUUUCCCUUAACGACCAAAUGGUAGACAUUCUGUCUUCCGAGGACCCUGGGAGUAUGCUUCAAGCCUUAGAAGAGUUGGAGAUUGCAACCCUGAAUCGGGCAGAUGCAGAUCUGGAGGCUUGUCGAACACAAAUCAGCAAGGAUAUCAUUGCCCUUCUACUGAAAAAUCUCACCAACAGUGGCCACCUCUCACCCCAAGUAGAGAGAAAAAUGAGUGAUGUUUUCAAAAAGCAGUUUAUGUUGCUGGAAAAUGAAAUACAAGAGGAGUACGAUCGGAAGAUGGUGGCAUUGACAGCUGAAUGUGACCUGGAAACAAGAAAGAAGAUGGAAAACCAGUACCAGAGAGAGAUGGUGGCAAUGGAGGAAGCAGAAGAGCUGCUGAAACGUGCUAGUGAGAGGUCUGCUGUAGAGUGCAACAGCCUUCUGCGGACCCUCCAUGGCCUGGAACAGGAGCACUUGAGGAAGUCUCUCGCUUUGCGGCAAGAAGAAGACUUUGCCAAAGCUCACAGACAGCUAGCUGUUUUCCAGAGAAACGAACUGCACCGUAUCUUUUUUACCCAGAUAAAAAGUGCUAUUUUCAAAGGGGAAUUGAAGCCAGAGGCGGCUAAAACGCUGCUGCAAAAUUAUUCUAAAAUACAGGAGAAUGUAGAAGAGUUAAUGGACUUUUUCCAGGCUAGUAAGAGGUAUCAUCUAAGUAAAAGGUUUGGCCACAGGGAAUAUCUCGUUCAGAACCUCCAGUCAUCAGAGACCCGUGUGCAGGGCCUUCUGAGCACCGCUGCAGCCCAGCUGACUCACCUCAUUCAGAAGCACGAGAGAGCAGGGUACCUGGAUGAAGACCAAAUGGAAAUGCUAUUGGAGCGGGCUCAGACAGAAGUCUUUUCAAUCAAGCAGAAAUUGGACAAUGACUUAAAGCAGGAAAAGAAAAAACUCCACCAAAAAUUAAUAACUAAGAGAAGACGAGAGUUACUACAAAAGCACAGGGAGCAGCGGAGGGAGCAGCUCUCCAUCAGCGAGGCCUUCCAAGCAGUUGAGGAUGCCGUCCAGUACCUGCACCAGUGGAGGAGCCUGAUGGAGGAGCAGGGCACCGCCCUGGAGGAGCUGCAGGAGCGUCUGGACCAAGCUGCCCUGGACAAUCUCAGGGCCCUGACCCUCUCACUGUUUGAGAAGGCCACCGAUGAGCUGCGGCGCCUGCAGAACUCAGCCAUGACCCAGGAGCUGCUCAAGCGCAGCGUGCCCUGGCUCUUCCUGCAGCAGAUACUGGAGGAGCAUGGCAAGGAGAUGGCUGUGCGGGCCGAGCAGCUGGAGGGGGAGGAGAGGGACAGGGACCAGGAGGGUGUCCAGAGCGUGAGGCAGAGACUGAAGGACGAUGCUCCUGAGGCUGCGACAGAGGAGCAGGCGGAGCUGAGACGCUGGGAGCACCUGGUCUUCAUGAAGCUCUGCUCCUCAGUCUUCUCCCUGUCUGAAGAGGAGCUGCUCAGGAUGAGGCAGGAGGUCCAUGGCUGCUUUGCUCAGAUGGACAGGAGCUUGGCCCUCCCCAAAAUCCGGGCCCGAGUUCUGCUGCAGCAAUUUCAGACUGCGUGGCGAGAAGCAGAGUUCCUGAAGCUGGACCAGGCCCUGGCUGCCCCCGAGCUGCAGCAACAGUCCAAGGUGAGAAAGUCACGGUCCAAGAGUAAAAGCAAGGGAGAGCUUCUGAAGAAGUGCAUCGAAGACAAAAUUCACCUCUGUGAGGAACAGGCUUCUGAAGACCUGGUGGAAAAGGUUCGAGGUGAAUUGCUGCGGGAGAGAGUGCAGCGGCUGGAGGCACAGGAGGGAGGCUUUGCACAGUCGCUUGUUGCUCUGCAGUUCCAGAAGGCGGCCCGGGUGACCGAGACCCUGUCAGCCUACACCGCCCUCCUCAGCAUCCAGGACUUGCUCCUGGAAGAGCUGAGUGCAUCUGAGAUGCUGACCAAGUCGGCCUGCACGCAGAUCCUGGAAUCGCACAGCCGGGAGCUCCAGGAGCUGGAGAGGAAGCUGGAGGACCAGCUGGUGCAGCAGGAGGCGGUCCAGCAGCAGCAGGCCCUGGCGAGCUGGCAGCAGUGGGUGGCCGAUGGGCCCGGGAUUCUGAACGAACCUGGGGAGGUGGAUUCUGAAAGACAGGUGUCUGCUGUCUUGCAGCAAGCCCUGAGCAAGAGCCAGACGUUACUGGAGCAACAUCAGCAGAGUUUGAGAGAGGAGCAACAGAACAGUGUCGUGCUAGAAGACUUGUUGGAAAAUAUGGAGGCAGACACCUUCACAACCCUGUGCAGCCAGGAGCUGAGACUGACAUCGUACCUGGCGAGGAUGGCUGUGGUGCCCGGGGCCACGCUUAGCCGGCUCCUGAGUGUGGUGCUGCCCACAGCCUCACAGCCUCAGCUGCUGGCCCUGCUGGAUUCGGGUAGUGAGAGACAUCCGGACCACGCAGCUGAGAGUGAUGGAGGAGCGGAGCAGGCCGACGUGGGCAGGCGGAGGAAACACCAGAGCUGGUGGCAAGCCUUCGACAGCAAACUGCGAGGAGAUCUGAUAAGCAGAGGAUUAGAAAAGAUGCUGUGGGCCCACAAGAGAAAGCAGAGCAUAUUAAAGAAGACGUGUCUCCCUCUCAGAGAGAGGAUGAUAUUCUCUGGAAAAGGAAGUUGGCCACACCUGUCACUGGAGCCCAUUGGCAAACUGGCUCCUGUACCCAUUGUCGGGGCAGAAACCAUUGAUGUAUUAAACACAGGAGAGAAGCUCUUUAUAUUCAGAAAUCCAAAGGAGCCAGAGAUUUCACUGCAUGUUCCUCCCAGGAGAAAGAAGAACUUUCUGAAUGCCAAAAAGGCCAUGAGGGCCUUGGGUAUGGACUAGCCCAAGGGAAAGCCAGCAUCUGAAGACAGAAGGGAUUAUUUUCUCCUGCCCACCAGUGUUGUCUGUUUAUAAUGUACAACUCACAAAUAUAAAUUGCACAUGCAGAAGGCACAGACCCCCCAACGCAUGCAGACUUUCACUGGACUCAGUUUAAUCUUGUCUCACGAAUUUCCAGAUGGCCCACUCUCCUCCGUAUCACAAGGACAUAAACACUUCUUCCUUUCAGCCGCACCUCUCCAGGGCCCUGGAGGAGACCCCCAGCCUGCGAUCCACACCCCAUCCUCCGCUGCGCAAGGGGACAGCAACCGUGCACCGUCUUCAGUUGCCACUUGACUACAUGGCUACAUUGGCAGGAAGGUGCAGGUAAACAGUUUGAAUGCAGGAGAGAAGAGAUGAUAGUGCCAGUUUUCCCAUCCAUCAGAAGGUCCAGCAGCCUCGACUGAGGACAGAGAAAGAGGAGUGAUUUUUACACACAGGGCAGCAGAGUGGAGAAUGCAUGGUCUUGGGAAUAAGCAGACUGGAGUUCUCAUCCUGCACCACUGCUUGACGGUCAUGUGUUCUUGGCAAGCAGAUACAAUUGGAUCUAUAAAGUCCACCACAUCUAUGUCCUUCUCUAGCUUUUUAAGGUGAAGCCUGUUUUCUUGAAGGGCUGUAUCUUCAC